UAGUUUAAUAGCAUAUGCACGAAUGCAUGCUUAUUUCAAGGCAGUAAGUCGUUUGGCUUGAACGAGGAAAACGUGUUUGCCCACUUCGCUAUUGUCUCAAAGGGUUGGGUUGCAGUUCCAGCCACACUCCACCAUGUGCUCUCCGUGCUCGAGCACUUGUACUCGCGCGAGACAGUUAGCAAUGAAGCUAGAUAGCAAGUUAGUUCGACGGCCAACUCACAAAUUGCUGAACGACAAAUUUGAGUAAUGUAUAGUUUUUUUUAUGGACCCAUUGUCUUGCUGGGCAUAUAUGAACACACACUAAUAUUUAACCCAUUCGAAACUUUUUGCAGUGUCCUAACUGGCUAGCCAGAUACGUUAGCCUUUCGCCAAUCAACAUGCUGUAGUACACCGUUGUUGCGCAAUCACUAGCAGUUUAUAUACUGUCCUGUCAAAUGUUUAAAUUACGGACAUUUGCCGACACAUUUAUUUGUAUUAAGGGUUGUUUUGUGAUUAACGUUACUGCUUUGAAAAACACAUUUCCUGUACCUCUUGUCUGGAAUAUCCAUAAACAUUGAUGCAACAGUGCUUUCAUUUUUGGCCAAUCAUUAAAAACCAUAUAGCAAUCUCGGUAAUUUGAUUAAAUGCUAAAUACCCUGACAAACCCAUUUGUUUGCAUAAGCAUGCGGUCAAACGACGAACUCCAUGUUCAUGUUGUCAAACAACACCACGCCCCCUUACUAGAAGCGCAAUCCGUUGCGUGCAAUAUCAUUUUUAUUGGGCUACUUGAAAAAUACUUGCAAACAUCCUAAUAACUUCUAUGCAUAUUAGUUAAAUACAACGUGUAUGACAUUGAACAUCAUUCAUUAUGUUGAAUGGGACGGAUUUGUAAAUGAGCUCGACUCAUCCUUUCUAUCAGAACUACACAAUGAAACCAAGAUAAUAUUAACCUGUUAUGGCUGUACAGGGAUCAACAUCAGGGGAAAUUUCAGAGUGACAACUAAAAAUACAACUUCGUAACAUUAAACAUUCUUGAAAAUGCAAGUGUCGUACACCCUUCAAAAUAUUACAAUCUUGGUAAUCAAACUACGUUUUCCAAUUUAAAAUAGCUAUUACAGAGAUCAAAUACCAUGCUUUUGUUUUAGAAGAGCAAUCAACAACCGAAACAUUUUCCGCCAUGACAGUUUUUACACAUUCACAUCUGAAGGUAAAAUUAUGACUUACAUUCUGAUAUCUUGCUCUUAUUCAUCUUCCUGAGGGUCCCAGUGAUAAAAUGAAGUGUCGUUUUCUUUGAUUAAAAUCAAUUUUUAAAGACUAAAUCGAAACAUUUUGUAAACCGUUCGUGCCGUGAAUUCCAUCUGUAUCAAUUUUUUACGGAGCAUUCGACGUGAUUACACACCGUAAACAAUUGUUUAUCUAGUCAUGGUUAGUUUCAGUGCAUUCCUCUGGAUGUUUGCAACACAGCCAAACAUCAUUGUUUUUUUUGCGGGGAGUAUUGACUGAAGUGAACUGAUUUGAAGACAACUAGCAAUGACUACCUUACGCACCAAUAAUUUUAGCGAAGCUUAAUUGAUUGACUAUAUUUCUGCCCAAUGACUACUGAUCUUCUUGAAAUCUAGCUGGGUAGAUAGCCAAUGAGCUGAGGUAAACGCGAGUAUGUAAUGGUUUUGGGUUGGACCACAAUUCCUUGUUUGUAAUCGCACGCGCAGGGAACUCCAUUCUCGCCUUGACGAUCAGAGGAGUUGCUGUAAAGGCUUUUUACGCGCAGCUGUAUUUCGGAAAGUUGUAGUUUCAACGAUUUCAUUGAAGAUAUCAUGGCGAAUAAAUCAGGAAAAGCGAAGUCAAAGUCUAAAGUGAAAGUGAGAGAUUUUUUGUUUGAGGAAUCUUGGAGUGUUAUGAUUGAAACAAACUGAGGAGCUGUUUCUGCAAGGACAGGACGUACUUCUGGACGGUGAUAGCGACUCCGACUGGGAGCCCCUGGUGCAAAGCUGCCCGCUCUACCUCUGCCCCCAGUGGUGUUCAUAUGCCACAGUUCAUUACUGCAGGCAUGACUGUGCCUCAGGGCCAAAAGGGCACAGCAUGGAGGCGUCGUUGUGUUCUGUGUCGCAUGAAAUGCACCACUUGUUCAGUUUGCCUCUGCUUUACAUCAGAAAGAGACUGCUAUGGGACAUGGCACAGGCAGCAAAAUAUUGUGACGAGGACUUCCAAAGGGUGUACUGUUUAAAAAAAUAUAUAUUUAUUUUCGAAUAUUUUUUUAAACAUUUUUUUGUGUGUGUUAGAAUUGCUUUUUGAUAUGUUGUAUAUAGUUAUUUGCACUAUUGUAUAUAGUUGUAGGUCAUUUCACCAAUUCGGCCACUUGGGUACAUUUGGGCAACUUGUGUGGGACACCUGGGUGACUUCAUGCUAAAUGUCAUGUAGCUCACCCAUUCCUGAAGUUAUCAGUCAAACUUUGCACACCUACAGUUGCCCUCUUGUGUUAUCCAUCAAAAUUAUCUCCAGCAUCCUAUCUGUGUGGCUAUUCUAGUACAUGUGAAAGAUGAUUCUACAACAAUAAAAAACAGAAAACGUA